rnacentral:rRNA from 1 species
AUUGAACGCUGGCGGCAGGCCUAACACAUGCAAGUCGAACGAGUGGCGGACGGGUGCGUAAUGUCUGGGAAACUGCCUGAUGGAGGGGGAUAACUACUGGAAACGGUAGCUAAUACCGCAUACCAUCGGAUGUGCCCAGAUGGGAUUAGCUAGUAGGUGGGGUAAAGGCUCACCUAGUCGACGAUCCCUAGCUGGUCUGAGAGGAUGACCAGCGACACGGGAACGGAGACACGGUACAGACGCCUACGGGAGGCAGCAGUGGGGAAUAUUGCACAAAGGGCGCAAGCCUGAGGUAGCCAUGCCGCGUGUAUGAAGAAGGCCUUCGGGUUGUAAAGUAUUUUCAGCGGGGAGGCGUUACCCGCAGAAGAAGCACCGGCUAACUCCGUGCCAGCAGCCGCGGUAAUAC